GCACUGGCUCAGCCACUGUAUUGUGGGCACAAGGCAGUGGGCAGUAAGUGAAGGGGUUGGUGGAACUACCAGGUUGGAAAUACUUUUAGUAUAGAAAUUUUCUUGGAUCUGAAAGUACGAGAUGAUCCACGGUUAAUAAACAGGGAUAGCCAGCGGCAGCAGACAGUUUCACUUUGUUGCCCAGGUUGGAGUGCAGUGGCCCGAUCUUGGCUUACUGCAACCUCUGCCUCCCAGGUUCAAGCGAUUCUUGUGCCUCAGCCUCCACAGUAGCUGGGACUACAGGUACAU
rnacentral:lncRNA from 10 species